UUCCUGGUGGUUCAGACAGUAAAGAAUCUGCCUGCCAUGCAGGAGAUCUGGGUUCAGUCCCUGGCUAGGAAA
rnacentral:tRNA from 1 species